rnacentral:rRNA from 1 species
UACGAAGGGGGCUAGCGUUGUUCGGAAUGACUGGGCGUAAAGGGCGCGUAGGCGGCGGCCUAAGUCAGGCGUGAAAGCCCUGGGCUUAACCUGGGAAUUGCGUUUGAUACUGGGCUGCUUUGAGUGCGGGAGAGGAUGGUGGAAUUCCCAGUGUAGAGGUGAAAUUCGUAGAUAUUGGGAAGAACACCGGUGGCGAAGGCGGCCAUCUGGACCGUAACUGACGCUGAGGCGCGAAAGCGUGGGGAGCAAACAGG